rnacentral:rRNA from 1 species
GUGGUGCAUGGUUGUCGUCAGCUCGUGUCGUGAGAUGUUGGGUUAAGUCCCGCAACGAGCGCAACCCUUAUCCUUAGUAGCCAGCAGGUAAAGCUGGGCACUCUAGGGAGACUGCCAGGGAUAACCUGGAGGAAGGUGGGGAUAACGUCAAAUCAUCAUGCCCCUUAUGAUUUGGGCUACACACGUGCUACAAUGGCGUAAACAAAGGGAAGCGAAGUGGUGACAUGGAGCGAACCCCAAAAAUAACGUCUCAGUUCGGAUUGCAGGCUGCAACCCGCCUGCAUGAAGCCGGAAUCGCUAGUAAUCGCAGAUCAGAAUGCUGCGGUGAAUACGUUCCCGGGUCUUGUACACACCGCCCGUCACACCAUGGGAGUCGAUAACGCCCGAAGUCAGUGACCCAACCGAAAGGAGGGAGCUGCCGAAGGCGGGAUGGAUAACUGGGGUGAAGUCGUAACAAGGUAGCCGUAUCGGAAGGUGCGGUUGGAUCACCUC